AAGAAAUUGGGAGGCCAAAUCAGUCCCAAAUCGAAAUCCAAGCUCGUAUUCAUGAACACCAAGUUGAAAGGAUCACAAGUUUGACGCGUAACAAGCUAGGUGGAAGCUUGGAGUGAAAGCGGGUCAAACAAGUCAAGCAUGGAAGAAAAGCGUAGAUCGGAUGCAAGGUACACCUUGGAUGCCGGAAGACGAUCAAGCUCAGCGAAGAACCGAACACGAUAAUGAUACACGCUUCCGCAUUUUGCUACGUUGUAAUUUUUAAACAACGAAUUCGAUCACGUUAUGUAGAAUAACUUAUGAUUUAUAAAAGUUUUA